GGCCUCGCCAAUGCCUCCUAAACAGCUUUGCGCUCCUUGAGACCCUCAUCUUCGUGGGGCGGGAGACCCUUCCUCCUUGGGUCACCCGAUCCACCCGACUCUUUUCCUUUGAGCGGCGUGAAGGCAGAGGCAGCAAGAUACAAGUUGUGGUUUGCCAACCUCUGAUCUAGAACAAGAUACCACAUCUCCCGGGAAAGUCUUUCCUGGAACCCAUGGCUUUAUCUUCACUCUGCUCACAUACUGCUUGUGGCAAGAUCCACUUUCCACGUUUACGAUGUCUUAUUAUAUACUCUGAUGCUGGGAAAGAUUGAAGGCAGGAGGAGAAGGGGACAACAGAUGAUGAGAUGGUUGGAUGGCAUCACCAACUCGACGGACAGGAAUUUGAGCAAGCUCCAGGAGUUGGUGAUGGACAGGGAAGCCUGGCAUGCUGCAGUCCAUGGGGUUGCAGAGUUGGACAUGACCGAGCAACUGACCUGAUUAAACAUUUAUCUCUAUCAGGGAGUAACUUCUGUGAAGAAUGCACACUGGACUUCCGUGGUGAUACAGUGGAUAAGAACCCACCUGCCAACGCAGGGGACAUGGGUCUGAUCCCUGGUGCAGAAAGAUCCCACAUGCCACAGAGCAACCAGGCCCGUGUGCCACAAUUACCGAGCCCACGUGCUGCAACUACUGAAGGCCAUGUGUUAAGAGCCUACGCUCCACAACAAGAGAAGCUGGCACAGUGGCAAAGGCCAUGCACCGCAACUG